AUUCAGAGAUGGAUUUGUGCCUUCGGGAACCGUGAGACAGGUGCUGCAUGGCUGUCGUCAGCUCGUGUUGUGAAAUGUUGGGUUAAGUCCCGCAACGAGCGCAACCCUUAUCCUUUGUUGCCAGCGAUUCGGUCGGGAACUCAAAGGAGACUGCCAGUGAUAAACUGGAGGAAGGUGGGGAUGACGUCAAGUCAUCAUGGCCCUUACGACCAGGGCUACACACGUGCUACAAUGGCGCAUACAAAGAGAAGCGACCUCGCGAGAGCAAGCGGACCUCAUAAAGUGCGUCGUAGUCCGGAUUGGAGUCUGCAACUCGACUCCAUGAAGUCGGAAUCGCUAGUAAUCGUGGAUCAGAAUGCCACGGUGAAUACGUUCCCGGGCCUUGUACACACCGCCCGUCACACCAUGGGAGUGGGUUGCAAAAGAAGUAGGUAGCUUAACCUUCGGGAGGGCGCUUACCACUUUGUGAUUCAUGACUGGGGUGAAGUCGUAACAAGGUAACCGUAGGGGAACCUGCGGUUGGAUCACCUCCUUA
rnacentral:rRNA from 1 species